UAACACAUGCAAGUCGAGCGGUAACAGAUCCAGCUUGCUGGAUGCUGACGAGCGGCGGACGGGUGAGUAAUGCAUAGGAAUCUGCCCGAUAGUGGGGGAUAACCUGGGGAAACCCAGGCUAAUACCGCAUACGUCCUACGGGAGAAAGGGGGCUCCGGCUCCCGCUAUGGGAUGAGCCUAUGUCGGAUUAGCUAGUUGGUGAGGUAACGGCUCACCAAGGCCACGAUCCGUAGCUGGUCUGAGAGGAUGAUCAGCCACAUCGGGACUGAGACACGGCCCGAACUCCUACGGGAGGCAGCAGUGGGGAAUAUUGGACAAUGGGGGAAACCCUGAUCCAGCCAUGCCGCGUGUGUGAAGAAGGCCCUCGGGUUGUAAAGCACUUUCAGCGAGGAAGAACGCCUAGCGGUUAAUACCCGCUAGGAAAGACAUCACUCGCAGAAGAAGCACCGGCUAACUCCGUGCCAGCAGCCGCGGUAAUACGGAGGGUGCAAGCGUUAAUCGGAAUUACUGGGCGUAAAGCGCGCGUAAGUGGCUUGAUAAGCCGGUUGUGAAAGCCCCGGGCUCAACCUGGGAACCGCAUUCCGGAACUGUCAAGCUUA
rnacentral:rRNA from 1 species